rnacentral:rRNA from 1 species
ACACGUAGGGGCCUGACGUUGUUCGGAAUCAUUGGGCGUAAAGGGCGCGCAGGCGGCCGUCCAAGUCCGGUGUUAAAUGGUCGGGCUCAACCCGAUCAUGCGCUGGAAACUGGGCUGCUGGAGUCCCGGAGGGGAUGCCGGAAUUCCAGGUGUAGGGGUGAAAUCUGUAGAUAUCUGGAAGAACACCGAUGGCGAAGGCAGGCAUCUGGCCGGAGACUGACGCUGAGGCGCGAAGGCGCGGGGAGCGAACAGGUUUAGAUACCCUGGUAGUCCGCGCAGUAAACGAUGCGCACCAGGUGUCGGGCGGCAGCGCCCGGUACCGGAGCAAACGCGAUGAGUGCGCCGCCUGGGGAGUAUGCCCGCAAGGGUGAAACUCAAAUGAAUUGACGGGG